rnacentral:sRNA from 1 species
UUAUAGCAGGGAUUGCGUGAGGGAUAGCAGUGGAGCUCUUUUUGUAAGCUGGCUUUUUUUGACAGGUUAUAAAAAAGCGGGAACGGAUAGCCCGACCCGAC